AGGACGAACGCUGGCGGCGUGCUUAACACAUGCAAGUCGAGCGGAAAGGCCCUUCGGGGUACUCGAGCGGCGAACGGGUGAGUAACACGUGAGCAACCUGCCCUUAGCUCUGGGAUAGCUCCGGGAAACCGGAAUUAAUACCGGAUAUGACCUAGGCCGACAUCGGCCGUGGUGGAAAGUUUUUCGGCUAGGGAUGGACUCGCGGCCUAUCAGCUAGUUGGUGGGGUAAUGGCCUACCAAGGCGACGACGGGUAGCCGGCCUGAGAGGGCGACGGCCAACGACUGGAACUGAACACGGUCCAGACUCCUACGGGAGGCAGCAGUGGGGAAUUUUGCGCAAUGGGGGAAACCCUGACGCAGCAACGCCGCGUGGAGGAUGAAAUAUCUUGGUAUGUAAACUCCUUUCGAUGGGGAAGAUUAUGACGGUACCCAUAGAAGAAGCCCCGGCUAACUUCGUGCCAGCAGCCGC
rnacentral:rRNA from 1 species